rnacentral:rRNA from 1 species
UUAUGUUCUGGGCUACACACGUGCUACAAUGGCCGGUACAGACGGACGCAAAGCCGCGAGGUGGAGCAAAUCCUAAAAAGCCGGUCUCAGUUCGGAUUGCAGGCUGCAAUUCGCCUGCAUGAAGUCGGAAUCGCUAGUAAUCGCAGGUCAGCAUACUGCGGUGAAUACGUUCCCGGGCCUU